GACGAACGCUGGCGGCGUGCUUAACACGUGCAAGUCGAACGGAAAGGCCCUGCUUUUGCGGGGUGCUCGAGUGGCGAACGGGUGAGUAACACGUGAGUAACCUGCCCUUGACUUUGGGAUAACUUCAGGAAACUGGGGCUAAUACCGGGUAGGAGCUCCUGCUGCAUGGUGGGGGUUGGAAAGUUUCGGCGGUUGGGGAUGGACUCGCGGCUUAUCAGCUUGUUGGUGGGGUAGUGGCUUACCAAGGCGUUGACGGGUCGCCGGCCUGAGAGGGUGACCGGCCACAUUGGGACUGAGAUACGGCCCAGACUCCUACGGGAGGCAGCAGUGGGGAAUAUUGCACAAUGGGCGGAAGCCGGAUGCAGCAACGCCGCGUGCGGGAUGACGGCCUUCGGGUUGUAAACCGCUUUCGCCUGUGACGAAGCGUGAGUGACGGUAAUGGGUAAAGAAGCACCGGCUAACUACGUG
rnacentral:rRNA from 1 species